UACGAAGGGGGCUAGCGUUGUUCGGAAUCACUGGGCGUAAAGCGCACGUAGGCGGAUCUUUAAGUCAGAGGUGAAAUCCCAAGGCUCAACCUUGGAACUGCCUUUGAUACUGGGGAUCUUGAGUCCGGGAGAGGUGAGUGGAACUGCGAGUGUAGAGGUGAAAUUCGUAGAUAUUCGCAAGAACACCAGUGGCGAAGGCGGCUCACUGGCCCGGUACUGACGCUGAGGUGCGAAAGGCGUGGGGAGCAAA
rnacentral:rRNA from 1 species